rnacentral:rRNA from 1 species
AUUGAACGCUGGCGGCAUGCCUAACACAUGCAAGUCGAACGGCAGCACAGUAAAGACUUCGGUCUUUAUGGGUGGCGAGUGGCGGACGGGUGAGUAACGCGUAGGAAUCUGUCCUGGAGAGUGGGAUAACCCGAGGAAACUCGGGCUAACACCGCAUGAUAUCGAGAGAUCAAAGGCAGGGGACCCUUCAGGGCCUUGCGCUCUAGGUUGAGCCUACGUCGGAUUAGCUAGUUGGUGGGGUAAAGGCCUACCAAGGCGACGAUCCGUAGCUGGUCUGAGAGGAUGACCAGCCACACUGGGACUGAGACACGGCCCAGGCUCCUACGGGAGGCAGCAGUGGGGAAUCUUGGACAAUGGGGGAAACCCUGAUCCAGCGAUGCCGCGUGUGUGAAGAAGGCCUUCGGGUUGUAAGGCACUUUAGGUGGGGAAGAAAGGUAAUGAGUGAAUAACUGAUUGCUUUGACGGUACCCGCAGAAUAAGCACCGGCUAACUCUGUGCCAGCCGCCGCCGUAA